rnacentral:rRNA from 1 species
GAUGAACGCUGGCGGCGUGCCUAAUACAUGCCAGUCGAGCGAACAGACGAGGAGCUUGCUCCUCUGACGUUAGCGGCGGACGGGUGAGUAACACGUGGAUAACCUACCUAUAAGACUGGGAUAACUUCGGGAAACCGGAGCUAAUACCGGAUAAUAUAUUGAACCGCAUGGUUCAAUAGUGAAAGACGGUUUUGCUGUCACUUAUAGAUGGAUCCGCGCCGCAUUAGCUAGUUGGUAAAGUAACGGCUUACCAAGGCAACGAUGCGUAGCCGACCUGAGAGGGUGAUCGGCCACACUGGAACUGAGACACGGUCCAGACUCCUACGGGAGGCAGCAGUAGGGAAUCUUCCGCAAUGGGCGAAAGCUUGACGGAGCAACGCCGCGUGAGUGAUGAAGGUCUUCGGAUCGUAAAACUCUGUUAUUAGGGAAGAACAAAUGUGUAAGUAACUAUGCACGUCUUGACGGUACCUAAUCAGAAAGCCACGGCUAACUACGUG